AGAUUGAACGCUGGCGGCAUGCCUAACACAUGCAAGUCGAACGGGAGUAGCAAUACUCUAGUGGCGGACGGGUGAGGAAUACGUAGGAAUUUGCCCUUAAGUGGGGGAUAACCCGGGGAAACCCGGAUUAAUACCGCAUGACCUCGAAAGAGCAAAGUGGGGGAUCGCAAGACCUCACGCUUUUGGAGAAGCCUACGUCGGAUUAGCUAGUUGGUGAGGUAAUGGCUCACCAAGGCGACGAUCCGUAACUGGUCUGAGAGGAUGAUCAGUCACACCGAACUGAGACACGGU
rnacentral:rRNA from 1 species